AAAAUGACUCUCGGCAACGGAUAUCUAGGCUCUCGCAUCGAUGAAGAACGCAGCAAAAUGCGAUACUUGGUGUGAAUUGCAGAAUCCCGUGAAUCAUCGAGUCUUUGAACGCAAGUUGCGCCUGAGGUCUUCGGGCCAAGGGCACGUCUGCCUGGGUGUUACUGA
rnacentral:rRNA from 1 species